GGGCGUGUAGCUCAGUGGUAGAGCACGUCACUUAUAAUGACGCGGUCGAUGGUUCGAUCCCAUCCACGCCCA
rfam:Candidatus Yanofskybacteria bacterium RIFCSPHIGHO2_01_FTLL_41_21 rifcsphigho2_01_scaffold_3494, whole genome shotgun sequence.